GGUAGUCCACGCCGUAAACGAUGGGUGCUAGGUGUCGGGGGUAUCGACCCCCCGGUGCCGUCGCCAACGCAGUAAGCACCCCGCCUGGGGACUACGGCCGCAAGGCUAAAACUCAAAGGAAUUGACGGGGGCCCGCACAAGCAGCGGAGCGUGUGGUUUAAUUCGAUGCAACGCGAAGAACCUUACCCGGGCUUGACAUGCACGUGGUACCCGAGGGAAACCGAGGGGACCCGCGAGGGAGCGUGCGCAGGUGCUGCACGGCUGUCGUCAGCUCGUGCCGUGAGGUGUUGGGUUAAG
rnacentral:rRNA from 1 species